UCACUAGUUUUAGUCUUUGGAUCCGAUCACAGGCUGCUGCUUCGAACGAGCCCCACCACGGCGACGACCACCACCUUCUCCUUCUCGUCCUCAGGGCCAGAUCCACCCAGUGCCCCUCCGACAAUCUUGACGGCCAUAUCCACCGCGAGCAGGCGUUGCUGGCUUGCGUAUUUAGUGCGAUUACCUACAUGCCAGUGUGAUGGAUCUUGGAUCGUGUAGGACUCCAGCCAGGCGAUUUUGUUGUCGGGGUCAUGGAUUUCUGCUCCAGGCUGUAGCAUAUAAGAUCCAUCAAACCGGAUCUGUGCUCCAGCGCGAAGGAGAUUCAUGCUACAUAUGAACGUGGAGAAACCUCUCUUGGGAUUUGGGAAGGCAACAAAACAUGCUGCCACGGCCACAGGAGGAGAUGUUGCAUCUGCUGAAUGUGUUGAAUCCAUCGUCUGAAUAGGAAAAAGCGCAGGUGAGAUCCAACCACCCAUGAGCCAUCUGCCUUCUACUUUUAGUUCUUGUGCGAGUAAGAUCCAGCCAAGCACUUAGUGCAUGUGUCUCUUGGUGCAAUCUUGGAAUUUUACUUGUGAAUUAGGUCGAUGGAUUUUUGGUCGAUUGAGUAGCUUUUAUUGUUGUUUCGUUUGUGUGAUGUGAUAUAGGUAUUCAUAUCGCGUGCUUGUCUAGCUCCAGGCAUAUCCAGAUCGGGUCGUGCCUCUCCCCGUCUCUUGGUGCAAUCUUGGAAUUUUACUUGUGAAUUAGGUCGAUGGAUUUUUGGUCGAUUGAGUAGCUUUUAUUGUUGUCUCGUUUGUGUGAUGUGAUAUAGGUAUUCAUAUCGCGUGCUUGUCUAGCUCUAGGCAUAUCCAGAUCGGGUCGUGCCUCUCCUCGUCUCGCCCAUAGAGAACAGGGAACGCCAGCACCAGAAGAUAGGUUGAUUUCGCAAGGCCUUUAAUUCUGCACUAUUUUAUUCGAGGCAACUUGACUGUGUAUUUUUAGGAAAACAGUUUGUGCUUCCGUGUUAAAAAAUAAAAUAAAAAUAAUCCCUGUGCUUAGGGUCAUCAUUUUUUGUUGCAGGUUGCGGAUCUUACUGCUACUGUACUUGGCUUAUAUCUGUUUCUUUUUCUCCGAAGUUGUUUGCUUUGGCGCUCUUCAUUUUAUUUGUUCUAUGUGUAUUGUAAAGAACUUUGUAUGUUGAACGCCAAUAGUUAUGUGCUUCUCAGAUUAACUUUUUUUAA